CUUGCGCAGCAGGUUAUGAGAAUUCACUUAUAAGGUUAGUGUAAUUAGGUUAAGGUUAGGUAAAGGGUUAGGGUUAGCUAAAAUGACCAAAAAACUACGUUUGACUUCAAAUUGGACAAAAGCUGUAUCCCAUCUAGGCAUGCCCGAUUUGAUGGGCAGGAGAGCAGCCCCUUCAAGAUGAUGCUAAGAGAACAUGUUGCAGUUUUAAAGCCAAUUUCACACCUGUGCCAGUAUGUUGGCAGUGGGCCAUACUACAGAUACUGGACCAUAACUGUGCCAGUGCCCAGUGCUAUCCAUGGAUCUGAAAUUGUCCUCCUGGGAGGUGUUGUAUUAGAUCAGGUCAAGUGUACAGUCAGUGAAGAGAUACUGCUGGUGAAAGACUCAGGUCAACCAGCCCCUCGAGGCAUUGUUCACAAUCUGAGAGGCGUAAAAUAGGAAAGAGCUGCCAGAUAAUGUAUCAAGUAGUCUCCCUGCUAACUCUUUAAGUAUUAGUUGGCUGUAGCCAGACAGCCUCCAUGGGAUACUGAAGUGUGAUGGUAUUUCAACCUCCCUCUACUCCCUUUGACAAUCUACAGUAGCCAUAUACUGUAGUUCUAAUCAAGGGUGCAACUUUGGUUGUAGAAGUUGAGGGGACAUAACAUCAUUUCAAUUAUAUUUUUUUAAUCCAGUCUGAUAAACACUCCAAA